rnacentral:rRNA from 1 species
CCCUUAGAUGUUCUGGGCCGCACGCGUGCUACACUGAGUGGAUCAGCGGGUCAGGUUGCGCGAAAGCGUUUCCUAAUCUUUAAAUCCGCUCGUGAUGGGGAUUGACGGUUGCAAUUUUCUGUCAUGAACGAGGAAUUCCUAGUAAACGCAAGUCAUCAGCUUGCAUUGAUUACGUCCCUGCCCUUUGUACACACCGCCCGUCGCACCUACCGAUUGAAUGACUCGGUGAAAAAUUGGGACUGUGGUUUUAUUUGAUUCAUUUCAAAUUUAACUGUGGGAACUUUCUUUAACCUAUUCAUUUAGAGGAAGGUGAAGUCGUAACA